UACGGAGGGUGCAAGCGUUGCUCGGAAUCAUUGGGCGUAAAGCGUACGCAGGCUGUUCGUUAAGUCGGGUGUGAAAGCCCGGGGCUCAACCUGGGAAUUGCGGUUGAAACUGGCGAACUAGAAUCUGGCAGAGGGGGGUGGAAUUCCACGUGUAGCAGUGAAAUGCGUAGAGAUGUGGAGGAACACCGAUGGCGAAGGCAGCCCCCUGGGCUGAGAUUGACGCUCAGGCACGAAAGCGUGGGGAGCAAACAGG
rnacentral:rRNA from 1 species